CAUGUCCUUUUGAUUAUAAUUUAAGGUCUGAUCUGCUCAAUGAAAAUUAAAUGGCCGCGGUAUUUUAACCGUGCAAAGGUAGCAUAAUCAAUAGCUUUUUAAUUGAAAGCUGGAAUGAAUGAUUGGACGAGAAAAUUACUGUCUCAAUAUUAAAAAUUGAAUUUAACUUUUAAGUGAAAAGGCUUAAAUUUAUAUAAAAGACGAGAAGACCCUAUAGAGUUUAAUAGAUAUAAUUUAUUUAUUGUGUUUGGUUAUUUAAAAUUUUAAAUAGGUUAUAUUAUUUAGUUGGGGUGACUUUAAGAUUUUAUAAACUCUUAAUAAUUAAGAACAUUUAUUUGUGAAUUAGGAAUCUAGAAUUUUUAAGAUAAAAAUAAAUUACCUUAGGGAUAACAGCGUAAUUUUGCUUUAAAGUUCCUAUUGAUGGCAAAGUUUGCGACCUCGAUGUUGGAUUAAAAUUAAUUAUUGGCGCAGUAGCUGAUGGAUUAAGUCUGUUCGACUUUUAAAAUUUUACAUGAUCUGAGU
rnacentral:rRNA from 1 species